CUGUCACCGCCUCCCCCCAGGGCGCUGCUCCCGGAGCUGCCGUGGUGUCCCCCAGGCAGGUGACACGCACCUGUGCCUGCCUGACGGGCCCGGGGCCUGUGGCCAUCACCGUGUCACCGCCUCGUUUGCGGUACUACCGAGCAGGUGGCACGGCGAGCCGUAUCCCCAAAUAAUGCCUCAACGCGAUGUGCCAGUCUGUCAGCACAGGGCACAACAUUAUCCUUACAAAUAAAAGGCUGUCAAAGCGUUUUCAGACCCUGUGCCAAGCCUUGCGGCACUGAGAUGAGGAUGGCUUAUGGACUGCAUGUCAAAGGAUCAUGAAUGCUUGAGAAAAUGUCAUUGUGGAAUCUCCGUCCUUGGAGAUAAGUGGAACUCAGCUGAACAACUUCAUGGGCAACCUGAUCUUAUUGGUCAUGUGUUGAGCAGAGGGCUGGUUGGGCCUCUUGGAGCUUUUUCUAGCCUAAGUUACUCUAUGAAUUUCUAUGGUGAAAAGUAUUUAAUUCUCUGUUCUUAUAUUGCAUGUAUACCUUGUUUCAUGAAGUGUUAAAAUGGUGCUUUCUUUAUGGUACUUAACUUUGUUUUUCUGCAAACAGGAUAUAAUUGUCUGUCACAGCAUUAGCCCACAGCCUCUCUUUUCAGGAAACAGUUUUGAAAAUGUUGAAUCUGCAAUGAAUGUUCAGUAGAGCUGGUCAAAAAACCCAAAACAUUUCUUACAAAAACCAUGUUCCUUUUUUGGUUGAAUAAUCCCAACCAUCUUUGAUGUGCCAUUUCAUGGGGGAGAAUCCAAACCAAGAUUGUAAAGGGGAGAGUGAUGGUGUUUUACAACUUCUAAUACCAAAACUUUUUAAAAUGAAAAAUGUGAUAGGUGUUCAUUAGCUGGUCAUGUGAUUUCUUAGAUUAUCAUGACAUCUUUAACGCUGUUAAAAACCCCAUAGAAAGCAUUUUGUUAUAUUUAAAUUGAUUGCACUUCCCUCCAACUUUUCUACUUUUCCUAUGAGACCCCACUUUGAAUUGCUAUUUUUUUUAGUUAAUAAUUUAAAACUUUGCUGGGGCACAGUAUUUUUUCUGAAUUUGGCGGCUUCACUUGAUGUCACUGACAUUAAUGUGCAAAUUCCAUUUUUUUGCUAUAUAACUGAAUAAAAGGAUCACAUGCUUGUCUGUCA
rnacentral:lncRNA from 1 species